AUCGCUUCUUGGCCUUUUGGCUAAGAUCAAGUGUAGUAUCUAAGCACACCCACAUAUAUCGAGUCUCCUCUGCCUCAGGACUGGCAAGUUCAA
rnacentral:snRNA from 1 species